rnacentral:rRNA from 1 species
GCAGUCUGCAACUCGAGUGCAUGAAGCUGGAAUCGCUAGUAAUCGCGGAUCAGAAUGCCGCGGUGAAUACGUUCCCGGGUCUUGUACACACCGCCCGUCACACCAUGGGAGUCGGGAAUGCCCGAAGCCGGUGGCCCAAUCGAAAGAAGGGAGCCGUCGAAGGCAGGCCGGAUGACUGGGGUGAAGUCGUAACAAGGUAGC